rnacentral:rRNA from 1 species
CCUGGGAACUGCGUUNUGAACUGGGUGACUAGAGUGUGUCAGAGGGAGGUAGAAUUCCACGUGUAGCAGUGAAAUGCGUAGAGAUGUGGAGGAAUACCGAUGGCGAAGGCAGCNUCCUGGGAUAACACUGACGNUCAUGCCCGAAAGCGUGGGUAGCAAACAGGAUUAGAUACCCUGGUAGUCCACGCCCUAAACGAUGUCGAUUAGCUGUUGGGCAGCAUGACUGCUUAGUAGCGAAGCUAACGCGUGAAAUCGACCGCCUGGGGAGUACGGUCGCAAGAUUAAAACUCAAAGGAAUUGACGGGGACCCGCACAAGCGGUGGAUGAUGUGGAUUAAUUCGAUGCAACGCGAAGAACCUUACCUGGUCUUGACAUGUACGGAACCCUCCAGAGACGGAGGGGUGCCUUCGGGAGCCGUAAUACAGGUGCUGCAUGGCUGUCGUCAGCUCGUGUCGUGAGAUGUUGGGUUAAGUCCCGCAACGAGCGCAACCCUUGUCAUUAGUUGCCAUCAUUAAGUUGGGCACUNUAAUGAGACUGCCGGUGACAAGCCGGAGGAAGGUGGGGAUGACGUCAAGUCCUCAUGGCCCUUAUGACCAGGGCUUCACACGUCAUNCAAUGGUCGGUACAGAGGGUAGCCAAGCCGCGAGGUGGAGCCAAUCUCACAAAACCGAUNGUAGUCCGGA